UACGUAGGGUGCGAGCGUUGUCCGGAAUUACUGGGCGUAAAGAGCUCGUAGGUGGUUUGUCGCGUUGUUCGUGAAAACUCACAGCUUAACUGUGGGCGUGCGGGCGAUACGGGCAGACUGGAGUACUGCAGGGAGACUGGAAUUCCUGGUGUAGCGGUGAAAUGCGCAGAUAUCAGGAGGAACACCUAUUGCGAAGGCAGCUCGCUGGACGUAACUGACGCUGAGACGCGAAAGCGUGGGGAGCGAACAGG
rnacentral:rRNA from 1 species